CCUACGGGAGGCAGCAGUAGGGAAUCUUCCGCAAUGGACGCAAGUCUGACGGAGCAACGCCGCGUGAGUGACGAAGGUUUUCGGAUCGUAAAACUCUGUUGUGAGGGAAGAACACGUACCAACUAACUAUUGGUACCUUGACGGUACCUCACCAGAAAGCCACGGCUAACUACGUGCCAGCAGCCGCGGUAAUACGUAGGUGGCAAGCGUUGUCCGGAAUUAUUGGGCGUAAAGCGCGCGCAGGCGGUUCCUUAAGUCUGAUGUGAAAGCCCACGGCUCAACCGUGGAGGGUCAUUGGAAACUGGGGAACUUGAGUGCAGAAGAGGAAAGUGGAAUUCCACGUGUAGCGGUGAAAUGCGUAGAGAUGUGGAGGAACACCAGUGGCGAAGGCGACUUUCUGGUCUGUAACUGACGCUGAGGCGCGAAAGCGUGGGGAGCAAACAGGAUUAGAUACCCUGGUAGUCCACGCCGUAAACGAUGAGUGCUAAGUGUUAGGGGGUUUCCGCCCCGUUACGUGCUGCNGACUACGACAUAAGUACACUCCGCCGUCGGGAGGUACGGACCGGCCGACGGACGNGAACGAACGAAGAAAGUAGUACGGACGUGAGACGAGCCGACGGACGACGACGAGGGAGGAGG
rnacentral:rRNA from 1 species